UGGGGGUCUGCUUCCACAACCCUUUGAGCUUUAUUAUACAUUAACAGUAUAUGUAGUUGUGGAAAGCCAUGAAUCAUAAUUCACAGCACCAAUAAAACUUCAAAGAAUAGGGCUUGGAAGUAACCAACAAAGUUGCUUAUUACUUGCGUGGCUGUUUGGUAGAGAUUCCUAUGCCAGGGUCCAGCAACUAAAAGGAACACUAUGAAGUCAAGACAAGAAACAAAGAAGCACAGAAACAGAACUGCAAACGCCGCCACGCCCACUUCUCUGUCUCACUCUAAUUUAAGAGCUUUCAUUAUUCUUCUGUUCUGAGAGAGAGUGUGUGUUUAAUUUUAAGAGCUUUUUUGAGUUCCGAGCACUUUGCUUCUUUUGUGUCUUUAAGUUUUUUCUGUGGUUAUGUAUUGUUGGAAACAUCGAUCUUACAAACCAAUCUCACAGACAGUGUAAGGUAUUAGCUAGACUCCACUUUUACUCAAAAACAUUCUAAUGGAAUGGAUGUUAUUCAUUUCAUCUAACGGUCGCUAGGGUUUUCAGAGUUUAUUGUAUGCUUCAGAUUGUUCCACGUGUGUAAAGAUAUUACUUUAUGUUCCUU